CGCGCGUACACAACACACACACACACACACACACACACACACACACACACACACACACACCGCCCACCGCCACUGUUAUCCAUUGUCACGCUCUAUUAUUGUCACGUAGACUUUUUCCGUAGAUAUUGCAUAGGGGACGACAGUUAUGUGUUAUGCGACAACACCGGACAUUUGCGCCAUAAACAGAAUGCGAUCCAAGAUCUUUUGUUGCGGGACGACUCGUCAAUCGCGAUAUAAUCUUUCUCACUGCGCGAAUUUACGGUUCGUAAAAAAAAAAAGAAAAAGAAAAAACAAAGUUAAGAAUGAAAACUGCAUCGUUGUUGCGAUUAUUCUUAUUUUUAUUGUCAUUAUUAUUAUUGCGAUUAUAUUGUCAUUAUUCUUAAUAUUACGAUUAUUCUUCUUAUAUUACCAUUACGAUUAACUAUUAAUACUUAUUAUUAUUGGAGCGCUAGUUGUGUACUGAUGUCAUUAGUAAUGAAAGUUACGUUGAAUCGGUCCUCAAGUAGGGCCGACUUCCUUCUUUUUUUUUAGCAUUUAUUACAACAAUGAUCAGUUGAAUUUGCGAAUUCAGUAGCUUUUUUUCCGUUUUUUUUCGUCUUCUUAUGUCUCUCAUUCCCAACUUCGAUUUCAGUCGAAUCUUCCCUCUCUCCUCUUGCCUAUACUGAAAUGUACUUUCUUUCUUCUUUCGCUUUGUUUAUUUUGAGUGGUUUCCGAAAACGAAAUAAUAGAGGCGAUAGACAAGUAGCUAGCUAAAAGGGAGAGAGAAGGGGAAAAGAAGAACCGGAAGGGAAGCAGGGAGAGAAGAGACGGACGAUCAGAAUUUCGAUAGCGUUAAAUUAGACGUUACUUAGAUUCAACGAUUGAAUGGAUUGAGCAGAAUUAAUAGUGUCUUUUGGCGCGUUGUUUUUCUUUUUUUCCUCCCGGCGCGCUCUCGCGUGUGUGUGCAUGUUUGCGUGAAUGUCAAAUUCGUGUACAUGUGUAAGCUCGACAAUCGAAAAACGAGCGAGCUACUCUUUGUAAGGCGAGACAAGAGAUUGAGAAAGAGGAAAGCCAAUCGCGAGGACGAUGCGCCGUUGAAAUACGUUAAUACUGCGAUCCUCCAGAGGAAGUUAUGUCGCAGGAGAUAAUACGUGUCCUUGCGAAUUAUUACAUUUAAAUCAAUAGGGUAUGAGAAUCAAAGUUUGUUGUUGCAGAAAAACAAUGAGAAUUGCUGCGAUUGGCCUUUGUAUGUCAUUUGAUUUAUUAAAGAUAACAAUCUGUUGCAAAC